UACAGAGGGGGCAAGCGUUGUUCGGAAUUACUGGGCGUAAAGGGCGCGUAGGCGGCCUUCUAAGUCAGACGUGAAAUCCCCGGGCUCAACCCGGGAACUGCGUCUGAUACUGGAAGGCUUGAAUCCGGGAGAGGGCUGUGGAAUUCCAGGUGUAGCAGUGAAAUGCGUAGAGAUCGGGAGGAACACCAGUGGCGAAGGCGGCCUUCUGGACAGUGACUGACGCUGAGACGCGAAAGCGUGGGGAGCAAACAGG
rnacentral:rRNA from 1 species